UCAUUUUCUCUUGCCGCCACUGUGUAAGAAGUGCCUUUUGUCUCCCUCCGUGAUUCUGAGGCCUCCCCAGCCAUGUGGAACUCCUCUUCUGCCCUGCCCGGCCACUCCUUUGAGUGACAGGGGGUAAUUGAGAAGCUGCUCCUCCCUCCAGGAAGGAAGACCCGGAGCUCUGGCUUCCCUCGGCAAAGCACAUAUAAACCCACAGCCACUGCGGGUGGAAGGAGAAGGGCAGGGUGGAAAAAGUUUGAGAGAAGGAGGGAGGAAAAGGUGUCCUGGCUAGCACCAUGUGGAUUCUCUUGAGAUGAGAAGAAAAUGCCCCGCUACGUCCCCCUUCUGCUGCUCCUGCUUCUCCUGAGGUGUUCAGAACGGGGUGGAGGAGUUAAUUUUGGUGAGAAGGAUGCAAAAGUCCCCGGGACCUGGAGAGAUGGAGUCAGGGUCCCUGGAGAAGGAGCCUCUUGGGACUCAGACAGGGCCAGUCCCGAGCGAAGGUACGGAAUAGAUGGAGCACCUGGCCAGCUGUCUCAUUUUAAAUCAUAUACCAAGCAUGACCUGAGUGUAAUCUCUAACAUGAAUCACAGCUUCUGCCUCAUUGGUUUGCCAGAACCGCAGGCACAAAUGGAUGAGAGGAGACACCUAUGAACAUGGAGCCAGAAUACCCCAAUUGCUGAAACACCAGUUCAGAGAGGAGUGAGCUUGAGAAAGAGUCAGGUUUAGUGUCCCACGGAAAGAGACCAGACCUGGAAAAGACAGAGUCAAAGCUGGGUGAGCAGGCCUUCGAAGGGCGUGGCUCAGCAAAGAUAAUCCAUAUUGUAGUGCAAGAGGAUUCUUGUGGAAUAUGUUUUACCAGAAUUAAACCAAAAAUGCCAAAUGAUCCCUAACUGGAAUAAAUCUCACCACAUUACCUGGGGAGAGGUGUCAUUUGGAUGUGAGGAUAGUUAUGAAAAUACUGAGCAGAGCAGAUGAGGAUAGGCCAUCAACAAUUCACAUUAAAUGAGAUUACUUUUUAGUAGGACUAAGCCAAAGCAUUUCCACUAAGCACCCAGAGACCAGCCCUAAAGACUCAAGAAUAAGAGAAAAUGAUGUAACUGCAGAUGGAAGGACCACUGAGGACCACAUCACUGCAGACCCAGGGACCACCGAGGACUCUGUCACUGCAGACCCAGGGACCACUGAGGACAAUGUGACUGUGGACCCAGGGACCACCGAGGGCUCUGUCACUGCAGACCCAGCGACCACCAAGGACUAUGUGUCUGCAGACCCAGGGACCACCAAGGAUUCUGUCACUGCAGACCCAGGGACCACUCACUGAGAACUUUGUCACUGCAGACCCAGGGACCACCAAGGACUCCAUCACUGCAGACCCAAGGACCACAGAGGACUCCGUCACUGCAGACCCAGGGACCACCAAACACUCCAUCACUGUAGACCCAGGGACCACUGAGGACUCUGUCACUGCAGACCCAGGGACCACCAAACACUCCAUCACUGCAGACCCAGGGACCACCGAGGACUCCGUCACUGCAGACCCAGGGACCACAGAAGAUGAAACCACUAAACAUGGUGACACUCACCUUCUGUGAACUACUUCAGUCACAGCAGUGAAACCCACCAGGCUCCUGACACCCAUGGGAAUUAUCCUCAUAUCCCUGGCUGCAACCACAGUCACUGUUGUGCUCUUUGUUGGAUUGGGCUUCAUUGUGAAAGAGUGUUUCCUGCCUCCAUUAAAUCCAUCCACCAGGGUUAUUUAUCAUCCCCAUGUCAUGGACUACAGUACACCAUAAAGAGGACCCCAGCAGUGACUACAGUUGGUUCUAGAAAAAGGAGACCCCUCAUCCGCCUCUGCAAGACUAUACAGCAUGAUGUGUAUCCUCAGGCCUCCACUCCUCCGCCCUAGUCUGGAGCCCUGGGACCACCACAUGAGGAAGGCAGCUGGCCCCUGGAAUAAGCAUGUGGAGGACACUCAGAAGGAUGCCCAUCUGCUCUGAGUGUCUCCUAAUUCUGCCUGACCUUGGUUACUUCCUCUGGACAAUCGCCUUUACCUAUCUACCAGGUUUUGAGGAAUUACACACAGCUCAGGUAUAAGAGAUAUUCGGUAAGUCUGAUCAAAUCAAUAAAGCAAAUUUUAUCUGUUUUUGUCUGGGACAUAUCUCUACAUUCAUUCAUUUAACCAAAAAAAAAAAAAA
rnacentral:lncRNA from 1 species